CUACGGGGCGCUGCAGUGAGGAAUAUUGCACAAUGGGGGAAACCCUGAUGCAGCAACGCCGCGUGGAGGAUGACGCAUUUCGGUGUGUAAACUCCUUUUAUGAGUCAAGAAAAUGACGGUAGCUCAUGAAUAAGCACCGGCUAACUCCGUGCCAGCAGCCGCGGUAAUACGGAGGGUGCAAGCGUUACUCGGAAUCACUGGGCGUAAAGGACGCGUAGGCGGGAUGUCAAGUCAGGUGUGAAAUCCUAUGGCUCAACCAUAGAACUGCACUUGAAACUGGCAACCUAGAGUAUGGGAGGGGGAGAUGGAAUUAGUGGUGUAGGGGUAAAAUCCGUAGAUAUCACUAGGAAUACCGAAAGCGAAGGCGAUCUCCUGGAACAUUACUGACGCUAAGGCGUGAAAGCGUGGGGAGCAAACAGGAUUAGAUACCCGUGUAGUC
rnacentral:rRNA from 1 species